rnacentral:tRNA from 5 species
GCACCCGUAGCUUAACGGAUAGAGUAGGGGCUUGCGGAGCCCUUGAUGACAGUUCAAUUCUGUCCGGGUGCA